ensembl:lncRNA
GCCAAGAGACAGGUAAACACCAAAAACGAACCAGCAGAGACACAAGGAAAGGAAACCCAAUAUAUAGAGCAGCACACGAGGAUCAGGUGAAAACAAUCAAGCAGACAAGGGCUAAACAAGGGGGCGUGACCAAGGGAAACAAGGAGGUGGGAUGAGAGGAGCAUGUGGCAGACACAAACAGAGACAGAACCAUGUGCUUAGACACAAAACAAACAGUAAAACACCGAACAAAGACAAGACUGUCCGGGCAGGUUCCUGACAAUACCCUCCUCCCAAUGGACGCCUCCAGGCGUCCACAGUGGGCAAAACAGUACAGGGAGGUACCAACUGGGGGGGCGGGUUGGGAACAAAACUUGGAACUCCAGGGUAGCCAGAAAACAUAAAGGGUGGGACUGGGAGGGAGGAAAAUAAUCCUGGGGAAUAGUUUGAGGUGGACCAAGGAGGUUCUGGCUUAUGGGAUCCAAAAGGACUAGCUAAUAGGGUGGGUGGGAUGGGGAUCCUGUUGGUGGUCCUUCUGGGGAUGUGGACUUGUCUUACUGGAGAAUUCUUGGGAAUAGCCCUUAUGGCCUCUGGGGCAAACUCUUGACGCGUGAAGGACCUUGGGACAAACUCAGGGGCCAUGACCACAUGGGCAGAGAGGGUGCAUCCUUGGGAAACCAGUUCCGGAGAUGCAAGAAUGGAUUCCGGUACGGACCUUGAAGCACUUUCCAGGGCCUCAGGGACAGGCACUGGGCUUGACUCUGGCGUGCCCUUCUGGGCUGUAAGGACAGGCACUGGGCUUGACUCUGGCGUGCCCUCCUGGGCUGUAAGGACAGGAUUAACCGGUGGUUCAGGUGAAGUUACAUAGACAGUCACAGAUUCCUUCUCUAGGGGAGAGACAGCUGGUGAAGUAGGCAGCUUAGGGUGUGGUUCCACCAGGUCACAUACUUCUGGGACCACUGGAUAUUGGACCACCUGACUUGGGUCCGCCUGGAUAACAGGACUAGGGACAUUCUGAAUCUGGUCUUCCAAGACCACUGGAGGUAGGGCAUCCUGACUUAAGAAAUCCUGGACCUCUGGACUUGGGGUCUCAUG